ACUACUUGCUAAAAUCUAUGAGACAUGGCUAAGAAAGAACUCAUAGGAAAUUUUUUUGUAAAACAAAUACCACCCAAGAAACCGGAGAGACUGGGCCGGCCCAGAGCGCGUGCGUGCCGCGUGGCAGGCUGCGCAAGCGCUGUGGGAUCCCGGGCCGGCAUGCGCCGUGCCGUCCUGCAGCUUCCAGGCUGGGCCCCGGAGGUGCGCGCAGACGUAGUGGUUUCAAAUACCGGGCUUCCCUGAUGGACGGGGAAUAUUAUCGCAAACCUUAGGCAAAGCUGACUGAGGAGGAGGUAUGAGACCAGCGCAGGAAGACUCAGCUCAUCAAAGUGGCCCAACAGCGAAAAUAAACUCGGUGCUGGGAGACCCAGUGACCAGUAAACUGACGAACACGAGGAAACAAGUACUGUGGCCAGACCCCUAACGAUGGAGCUGUGCAAAGAGAGCAGAUUGAGCUGUGCCGCGCUGCUUCUGCAGAGGGACAGCUGACCAUUGAACAUAACUCCUAGGCCGCCUUCCACCAGAUCCUGGAAAUCCCCAAGCCUGUGGGGGCGGUCCCCAUCCUCAAGGGUGGCCUUUUCUACCUGGUCCCUGCACGGGCAGCUGACCCAAGUGCGGCCGUCUUCCUGUUCUGGCGUGCUGGGAGAAGCAGCUUCAGCGGAGGGAGGGGGCCUGAGAAGCUGUCGCGCCAGCUGCUGGCGGCUCUCCACAACCAAGGCAGGUGAUUAGAAGGAAGCAUGAGCAACCUGGGAUGGUGGAGGCCAGCGGCACACCCUGGCCAGAAACCGCUGCUGGUAGAGGGCGGGUAGAGGCCCCAGGAGGAGCCCAGGGCCCUCUGCCACGUGGAGAAAUAACCUGCAGCUUGAGGAUGUUCCUUUUAAGGGCAAGCGUCACAAGGCGCAGCAGCGAGCGUGUUGAUUGCUCCUUAAGCCUUCUUUUUGGGGCUUGAACUUGCUCUCCCUGACUCAAGUCUCGCAAAGGAGAAACAUGUCGUUGAGGGGAUUUCUCCCAAUAAACUCAGAGUCCAUCCAGUCAACUCUUCCCUGAGCUUCAGGUGGACUUUUGGAUGAUAGGAAAAGACGCAGAUUUGGGAGCAGAAAAGGUUUAUUAAAAAAUUCUCACCCUGAACAGGUAGGGUACCCUGUUAGGUAGUAUCCUCAUUUAUUAAAACUGACUGGAGGCGGGGGGGAAUGAAAUUAAACAAAUGGGAAAAAUGGGAUAUUGAAAUUAAGAAGGAUAAAAAAGAUAUGAAUUAUAUAUGCAAAUGUGUAUGAACUAUAAAAGUCCCCAGCAAGGCUAAAUAAAACCAAAGGAGAGGAACAUGGCCCAUCAUGGGAGAGGAAUGGUGUGGAUUAGGGAUAGAGAGAAAAGUGUUCUUUCUAACCAGAAGUGGACUUUGGUCCUUACAGCAGUCAAGGAGACCUUCAAACUUUCAUUCCUUCUACUGGCUCCUUUUCCUUGGAAAAUGACCUCUGGCUUCAAAAAAAAAAAAAAAAAAACAAAAAACAAAACUUUUCAUUUAAAACUAAAGAGACUGUAUUAUUUAUCAUACCAAGUGUGUAAACUUUUAAGAAUGAAAGUGAUCCUAUAAGCAGGUACACCAGGACAACUGGUGAAAACCUGGGUUUAGGAUUAUCAUGCUUUAUGAUGUAUGUUAUCAUAUUGAUUCAGUAAUUACUGCUUAACACCUUUAUAAUGUAUAUCAUGUUGAUUCAGUAUUUACUGCUUAGCAUAACAUGAUCAUGCUUUGUAAUGUAUAUUAUCAUCUUGAUGCGAUAAUUACUGCUUAACACCUAGAACAGGUUUGUAAUCUCAAGAUAGGUGCAAGAAACUAAAAGGACAUCUAAAUAUUCUGACACCUUUAGCUAAAUGUGUUUUUUACUGUCUUCCACAUUGAAUUAUCAUAUUGUUUAGACACACCUGAUGAAAGCAAUGUAACUAUACUACAAAUUAUGGUAAAUACUGCAUGGAAACUUUAUCCAAAUGAGGUAGAUUUUUUUUCAAUUAAUUAAAGAUAUUACUUGUUGCUAAAAUGAGAAAGGGUUCAACCUCAAUUUUAAUCAUUUUUUUGUUUAUAGAGACAAGUGCUGAGUAUUGUUUAUAAAAAUAUUAAUAAUAGUUCCACCUAUAUAUGUAUUAUAUGCUAGGCAUACAUGUAUAUUAUUAACUAGUGAGUCUUGUAAUUAUUAUAUGUUAGUCCAUUCUCAUAUAUUAACACAAUUAUUCAUUGAAAUUACCCAUAGAUAGUAUUUCUCAUUCCCAUUUUAUAAUUUUUACCUUUUAUUUCUCUAUGCAUCAGAUUCUUCAUUUAUCAAAAAGAGGUAAUGGUAAUACCUCUGUUUUGCAAAAUGGAUUUUAAAAGAGUGAUGGAGAGGAGAACUGGUGUGAGAAGUCCUAAGGUAAAUCCAUUUUAGGAACUAGCACCCAAAGAAGAGAAUUGGGAGAAUUGAUCUAGAACAAAGCUGGCCCUUUGGAAGUCUUUUGGAAACUCCUAUCCCACUUGCUCAGGCUGUAUUCCAAUUUAAAGACACAAGAGAUCAACACACUAACCUGAAUUCACAUCUCAUUUUGCCUUUGCCGGCUGCUAUUCAUUUUACUAGUCUUCACAAAGGACUGCCACAAGAAUAACAGCUUCUUUUAUUUCAAAAUUUAAAUUUUAGAGAUACAGCUUAUGGAGGAGGAAAGUUGUUUUAAGUCACUGAAACACCCAAAGAAAAUAUAUCUGACAAUGUUACUGAGAAUCUUCAAGUUUGAAGGAAGAAGCUCGUAGCAGUGGACAGAGAUAGGGGUGGUGGCUGCUGCCAGGUGACUCAAAGUAGGACAUUUGUCACUGCUACUGCUGCUCUCCAUAAGGUGCUGAAUCCCUGACCCCAACCCACUAAGGGCUGCAACAUCUUAGAGGUGCCAAAUGAAGCUGUACUUUCUCUGAGUCUUCCAGGUAGUGGAACCAUGUGAUAAUCUGAAGAGAAAUAAAGAGAAAUAAAGAGAAUGCACCUCACACCCUGA